AUUGAACGCUGGCGGCAGGCUUAACACAUGCAAGUCGAGCGGGGGAAGGUAGCUUGCUACCGGACCUAGCGGCGGACGGGUGAGUAAUGCUUAGGAAUCUGCCUAUUAGUGGGGGACAACAUCUCGAAAGGGAUGCUAAUACCGCAUACGUCCUACGGGAGAAAGCGGGGGAUCUUCGGACCUUGCGCUAAUAGAUGAGCCUAAGUCGGAUUAGCUAGUUGGUGGGGUAAAGGCCUACCAAGGCGACGAUCUGUAGCGGGUCUGAGAGGAGGAGCCGCCACACUGGGACUGAGACACGGCCCAGACUCCUACGGGAGGCAGCAGUGGGGAAUAUUGGACAAUGGGGGGAACCCUGAUCCAGCCAUGCCGCGUGUGUGAAGAAGGCCUUAUGGUUGUAAAGCACUUUAAGCGAGGAGGAGGCUACUCUAGUUAAUACCUAGGGAUAGUGGACGUUACUCGCAGAAUAAGCACCGGCUAACUCUGUGCCAGCCGCCGCGGUAA
rnacentral:rRNA from 1 species